rnacentral:rRNA from 1 species
GGGGUGCUGGGGAGGGGCUUCGGGUUGGUGGGCUUGGGAUUGAGUCUAGGAGAGGGUGAGGUUGGCGGCGACGGCGGGUCUAGGUUAGGGAGGGCGGGGUCUAGGUUAGGGAGGUCGCCUCGAGCGGUGGGAGGAAGAGAGCGGGAGAGGUAGUUGGCGUGAUCUCGGUGAUACUGUGUGUGGUCUCGUCGACUCUAGGCGCAGGGUCGUGGACGCGCCUUCUACCAGUAGGAGAGUGGCGGAUGUGCUGUGGGUGGACAGAGGAGAGGAGAGCGGGCGGCGUGCGUGCGGAGCUUGGAAGGGGUUCGGUCCACCACCCCCAAGGCGCUUGGCACCUCCCCCUUCCCCGCUACCCGUUCAUGACGUGGCGACGCCGCCGCCGCCACCUCCCCCUCGUCGGCCAGUACCACAGGCACGGCGGCGGCGACUGGUCCAUGGACACGCCUCUGAUGCAGACGACCAGGUAGUUCGUCCAGAAGCUGUUGGAGGUGCUGUUGUAGAGGGAGCUAGGCCACUGGAUAAGCUAUAGGGGGGAAUAGGAGAGGAGGAGGAGGGGGAGGGAAGCGCAGCGAGAGCGAGCAGGAUCGACGAGGAUAAAGCAACGCCGCCGAGCCGAGUGCCCUAACUAACUAACCCAAACCAGGCCACGAAACCCGCUCGUUAGGUAGACAGAACCCAACCGACCGUUAACUAAGUAAAACCCGGAAGUGGCGUCGCGAUCAAGGAGGCGAUGGCCCGGCGUAACGAAGGGGUGCUGUCCUGGUUUGUCGUUGCUGUCACGUUCAAGGGCAGGUGGUCUAAUAGACGAGGGUUUACGCAAUCGACAUAGACGCGUCAAAAAGGAGAAGUUUAAAACCCAUGAUCAUCAUACGAACACAACGACAUCGUAUAGUUGACGAAUAAUAGGUCGUUCAUGAUGAGGGGUACACAACAAGGUAAAAUUUUAACUUAAACCACCGACGCGGUACACGGACCAUCAGAAUCGCCCUAACGAACCGAGUCAAAGAAAGUAACGAACGAACGAACGUGUUUGUAGUUAGGUGGGUGACAAAAAGAAAGUUAACUAUGUACACGACGAGAAAAAGAUAGAUACAUAGAUAGAUACAUACAUAGAUAAGGAUGGUUCUUUUACCUUUGUUUGUCACCUAGUGAUGGAUUAGAUCAGAAGUAAGUAAAGGAUUAGAUCAUAUUUAAUGUCUGUCUGAACAUAUCAAAGUCCACAGGGGAGAAGUAUGUAAAGGAUUAGAUCACAUAUGUCUGAACACAUCGAACAUAUGAGAUAAGAAACGGUUAUGAGAUAAAAAGUCACCUUGUAAUAGAGUACGAACGAACGAACGAACGUGAGGGAGAAUAAAAAUGAUGAACAUAUCAAACUAACUAUCUACGAAAGGUACAGACAUACCUUGGAUUUGUUUGUACGGUAUGUUCCUUUACCUUCCGAACACAUCAAAAUCAACUGAUUAGUAGAAUAAACAAAAAACCGACGUAGACUGUAUGUAAGAAUACGGACAAAUGAGGUCCAGUCCGAGUGCAAAGGGGAGGACGGGCGGCUACAUAAAGAGCGUUUGUCCUUACUUCGCAGUUACUAUACUUGACGUUGUUGUUAACUGUUUCGCGGUACCUAACACCGAACCCCGAUUUUGGUUCGGUAGAACAGAACGGUAGAACAGUUAAUGACCAAAGGGGAGGACGGCGGCUAAUGACCAAAAUCGGGGUUCGGUAGAACAGAACGGCAAAAACCACACAACCACCGAACCCCGAUUUUGGUGACAAAUGCCAGCAACUACUACCAGUAUAAUCGAUACUCUACACUCCCUUUAUGACAUUGGAGUUUACACACAGUAGUACACUGACAACACUGGGAAGUAUAAUAAAGAUACGACUCUAACACUCUAAGCAUAUCCUGGUAUUUCAAGUAAGAGAAAGUUAGAUAGUGUGCACAAAACAUGGUUAUAGUACUAAUACGUGGUUUGUAUAAUGGCAAUCACCAAGUAAGAUAAACUAUAGUAGUUGAAAUAAUAAUGGACGGUAUUCCUACUAGACAUACGUGGUUUGUACUAGAACUUUCCUAAAAAUAAGAUUCGUAAAAACAGUAUCAGUUAUUCGAUGAAGGACUUAGUUUAAACAAUUACUUUACAAAAACAUCGUGACGCUUAUAAAUUAAUCAACCGUUCGCACUACAGGUAAGUGACCUAAUACAGCGGACUAAGCUCUGCGGAGGAGACAAAAAACGUCCAGGCCGUCGUGGCGGAGCAGCUGCUACUUCCACCACUGGCGCCCUCGUUCACCGUGAUCAACCACCGACACUCUGAACUGCUGUGCCGAGAGUAGUCGCCGCUGUCUCCACCAGCAAUCCUCGCGUACUAUCUGAUGAUUUACCUGUUCAUAGACGUUGUAAGUCGUAGUUUCUACCACGAAUGGUCUACAAGAUGAUAUCUGGUAGGUAUAGUAGCUGUACUUCAAUCUAAAACCGGAAGUAAGCAGUUUUCAACCACAUGUUCCUUGAGGUCCUCUUCUUAGAAAUUCAUUUAUUAAAUAUCUCUAGCCCUAGAAUACAACAGCUCCACCGACGACAACACUGGUUUCUAGUCGGACCUCUACACGUAGUAUCAAAAUCAACUUCAACGGUGGUACAAAACCAAGGACACAUAAACUAACAUACAUUUGAACUACCUGGCACAUCAGUACAUGCACAACAAACUCAAAGUAAAUCACUAAAGACCUAAACUAGUAAAUUAACUCUUUUAAUAAAUAACAAACGACAACUUUACACAUUUUAACUUUAGAC